rnacentral:rRNA from 1 species
AACGAACGCUGGCGGCAUGCCUAACACAUGCAAGUCGAACGAGACCUUCGGGUCUAGUGGCGCACGGGUGCGUAACGCGUGGGAACCUGCCCUUAGGUUCGGAAUAACUCCCCGAAAGGGGUGCUAAUACCGGAUAAUGUCUUCGGACCAAAGAUUUAUCGCCUUUGGAUGGGCCCGCGUUGGAUUAGCUAGUUGGUAGGGUAAAAGCCUACCAAGGCGACGAUCCAUAGCUGGUCUGAGAGGAUGAUCAGCCACACUGGGACUGAGACACGGCCCAGACUCCUACGGGAGGCAGCAGUGGGGAAUAUUGGACAAUGGGCGAAAGCCUGAUCCAGCAAUGCCGCGCGAGUGAUGAAGGCCUUAGGGUUGUAAAGCUCUUUUACCCGGGAUGAUAAUGACAGUACCGGGAGAAUAAGCUCCGGCUAACUCCG